UGGGGAAUAUUGGACAAUGGGGGGAACCCUGAUGCAGCGACGCCACGUGAACGAAGAAGGUAUUCGUAUCGUAAAGUUCUGUCCUAUGGGAAGAUAAUGACAGUACCAUAGAAGAAAGCUCCGGCUAAAUACGUGCCAGCAGCCGCGGUAAUACGUAUGGAGCGAGCGUUGUCCGGAAUUAUUGGGCGUAAAGGGUACGCAGGCGGUUUAAUAAGUCGAAUGUUAAAGAUCGGGGCUCAACCCCGUAAAGCAUUGGAAACUGAUAAACUUGAGUAGUGGAGAGGAAAGUGGAAUUCCUAGUGUAGUGGUGAAAUACGUAGAUAUUAGGAGGAAUACCAGUAGCGAAGGCGACUUUCUGGACACAAACUGACGCUGAGGUACGAAAGCGUGGGGAGCAAACAGGAUUAGAUACCCCGGUAGUCCCUGAGCGGGCUGGCAAGGCGCAU
rnacentral:rRNA from 1 species